UACGUAGGCAGCGAGCGUUGUUCGGAAUUACUGGGCGUAAAGAGUGUGUAGGCGGUGCUCCCAGUCUGUUGUGAAAUCUCCCGGCUUAACUGGGAGGGUGCAGCGGAAACUAGAGUGCUAGAGGGUGGGAGAGGUAAGCGGAAUUCCUGGUGUAGCGGUGAAAUGCGUAGAUAUCAGGAGGAACACCAGCGGCGAAGGCGGUGGUCUGGGCCAAUACUGACGCUGAGGAGCGAAAGCGUGGGGAGCGAACAGG
rnacentral:rRNA from 1 species